rnacentral:rRNA from 1 species
AGAGUUUGAUCCUGGCUCAGGAUGAACGCUAGCGGCAGGCCUAACACAUGCAAGUCGAGGGGCAUCGGGAUUGAAGCUUGCUUCAAUUGCCGGCGACCGGCGCACGGGUGCGUAACGCGUAUGUAACCUACCUAUAACAGGGGCAUAACACUGAGAAAUUGGUACUAAUUCCCCAUAAUAUUCGGAGAGGCAUCUCUCCGGGUUGAAAACUUCGGUGGUUAUAGAUGGACAUGCGUUGUAUUAGCUAGUUGGUGAGGUAACGGCUCACCAAGGCAACGAUACAUAGGGGGACUGAGAGGUUAACCCCCCACACUGGUACUGAGACACGGACCAGACUCCUACGGGAGGCAGCAGUGAGGAAUAUUGGUCAAUGGACGCAAGUCUGAACCAGCCAUGCCGCGUGCAGGAAGACGGCUCUAUGAGUUGUAAACUGCUUUUGUACGAGGGUAAACUCACCUACGUGUAGGUGACUGAAAGUAUCGUACGAAUAAGGAUCGGCUAACUCCGUGCCAGCAGCCGCGGUAAUACGGAGGAUUCAAGCGUUAUCCGGAUUUAUUGGGUUUAAAGGGUGCGUAGGCGGUUUGAUAAGUUAGAGGUGAAAUCCCGGGGCUUAACUCCGGAACUGCCUCUAAUACUGUUAGACUAGAGAGUAGUUGCGGUAGGCGGAAUGUAUGGUGUAGCGGUGAAAUGCUUAGAGAUCAUACAGAACACCGAUUGCGAAGGCAGCUUACCAAACUAUAUCUGACGUUGAGGCACGAAAGCGUGGGGAGCAAACAGGAUUAGAUACCCUGGUAGUCCACGCAGUAAACGAUGAUAACUCGUUGUCGGCGAUACACAGUCGGUGACUAAGCGAAAGCGAUAAGUUAUCCACCUGGGGAGUACGUUCGCAAGAAUGAAACUCAAAGGAAUUGACGGGGGCCCGCACAAGCGGAGGAACAUGUG